CUAGCUACAGGCUUAACACAUGCAAGUCGAGGGGCAGCAUGGGCUUAGCUUGCUAAGCCCGAUGGCGACCGGCGCACGGGUGAGUAACACGUAUCCAACCUGCCGAUUACUCCGGUAUAGCCUUUCGAAAGAAAGAUUAAUCCCGGAUGGCAUGGCGAUUCCGCAUGGUUUCUCCAUUAAAGGUUUUUCCGGUAAUCGAUGGGGAUGCGCUCCAUUAGGCAGUUGGCGGGGUAACGGCCCACCAAACCUACGAUGGAUAGGGGUUCUGAGAGGAAGGUCCCCCACAUUGGAACUGAGACACGGUCCAAACUCCUACGGGAGGCAGCAGUGAGGAAUAUUGGUCAAUGGGCGGAAGCCUGAACCAGCCAAGUAGCGUGAAGGAUGACUGCCCUAUGGGUUGUAAACUUCUUUUAUAAGGGAAUAAUUGCGGGUACGCGUACCUGUUUGCAUGUACCUUAUGAAUAAGGAUCGGCUAACUCCGUGCCAGCAGCCGCGGUAAUACGGAGGAUCCUAGCGUUAUCCGGAUUUAUUGGGUUUAAAGGGAGCGUAGGCGGGCGCUUAAGUCAGCUGUGAAAGUUUGGGGCUCAACCUUAAAAUUGCAGUUGAUACUGGGUGCCUUGAGUGCGGUAUAGGCAGGCGGAAUUCGUGGUGUAGCGGUGAAAUGCUUAGAUAUCACGAAGAACUCCGAUUGCGAAGGCAGCUUGCUGGAGCGUAACUGACGCUGAUGCUCGAAAGUGUGGGUAUCAAACAGGAUUAGAUACCCUGGUAGUCCACA
rnacentral:rRNA from 1 species